GCUAUUUGAGGUGGGAAAGGUUCCCCAUGCGCUACUUUUAGUAGUUAACAGAGAUGCAGGAUAAGCCGACCUGCCGAAUAGC
rnacentral:ncRNA from 1 species